ACUUGGAUAUCUUAUAUUUAGAGUAUGACAUUGAAGAUGUCAUUGAGGUUUAUGUUCCUUCAAGUA
rnacentral:tRNA from 1 species